CUACGGGUGGCUGCAGUGGGGAAUAUUGCACAAUGGAGGAAACUCUGAUGCAGCAACGCCGCGUGGAGGAUGACACUUUUCGGAGCGUAAACUCCUUUUAUAUAGGAAGAAGAUGACGGUACUAUAUGAAUAAGCGCCGGCUAACUCCGUGCCAGCAGCCGCGGUAAUACGGAGGGCGCAGGCGUUACUCGGAAUCACUGGGCGUAAAGAGCGUGUAGGCGGAUUAAAAAGUCAGAAGUGAAAUCCUAUAGCUAAACUAUAGAACUGCUUCUGAAACUCUUAAUCUAGAAUAUGGGAGAGGUAGAUGGAAUUUCUGGUGUAGGGGUAAAAUCCGUAGAGAUCAGAAGGAAUACCGAUUGCGAAGGCGAUCUACUAGAACAUUAUUGACGCUGAGACGCGAAAGCGUGGGGAGCAAACAGGAUUAGAUACCCCCGUAGUC
rnacentral:rRNA from 1 species